rnacentral:rRNA from 1 species
UGAGUAACGCGUAAGAACUUGCCCUUUAGACUGGGAUAACAAGAGGGAAACUUCUGAUAAUACUGGAUAAGUUAGUAUAUCGCAUGAUAUGCAAAUGAAAGCUACGGCACUAAAGGAGAGCUUUGCGUCCUAUUAGCUAGUUGGUAAGGUAAGAGCUUACCAAGGCGAUGAUAGGUAGCCGGCCUGAGAGGGUGGACGGCCACAAGGGGACUGAGAUACGGCCCUUACUCCUACGGGAGGCAGCAGGC